rnacentral:rRNA from 1 species
UCGAGAGUUUGAUCCUGGCUCAGGAUGAACGCUAGCGGCAGGCCUAACACAUGCAAGUCGAGGGGUAGAGGAAGCUUGCUUCCUUGAGACCGGCGCACGGGUGCGUAACGCGUAUGCAAUCUACCUUAUACAGGGGAAUAGCCCAGAGAAAUUUGGAUUAAUGCCCCAUAGUGUUAUUGAAUCGCAUGGUUUAAUAACUAAAGUUCCAACGGUAUAAGAUGAGCAUGCGUCCCAUUAGUUAGUUGGUAAGGUAACGGCUUACCAAGACAAUGAUGGGUAGGGGUCCUGAGAGGGA